GUCUCAAAGAUUAAGCCAUGCAAGUGUAAGUACGAGCUCGAGUACAGUGAAACUGCGAAUGGCUCAUUAAAUCAGUUAUGGUUCAUUUGAUCGUACGCUUUAAUACAUGGAUAACUGUGGCAAUUCUAGAGCUAAUACAUGCGUGAAGCGCCGACUUUACGGGAGGCGCGCAUUUAUCAGACCAAAACCGACCGGGCUUCGGCCCGUACUGUAAUGGUGACUCUGGAUAAGCUCGCGGAUCGCACGGUCUUGCACCGGCGACAUCUCUUUAAAGCAACUGCCCUAUCAACUAUCGUCGGUACGGUAUCGGCUUACCGAGGUUGUAACGGGUGACGGAGAAUCAGGGUUCGAUUCCGGAGAGGGAGCCUGAGAAACGGCUACCACAUCCAAGGAAGGCAGCAGGCGCGCAAAUUACCCAUUCCCGGCUCGGGGAGGUAGUGACGAAAAAUAACAAUACAGGCCUCGUACGAGGCCCUGUAAUUGGAAUGAGUACACUUUAAACGCUUUAACGAGUAUCCAUUGGAGGGCAAGUCUGGUG
rnacentral:rRNA from 1 species